GAAACUUAGGAUUACUUAAACCGAAG
rnacentral:tRNA from 15 species